GCGGACGUGGCGGAAUUGGUAGACGCGCUAGAUUUAGGUUCUAGUGCCGCAAGGCGUGAGAGUUCGAGUCUCUCCGUCCGCA
rnacentral:tRNA from 23 species